UGCGUUUCCCAAAAGCAUCGUUGCUAACUACGGUAGCAACUAACAUGGUUGCAACUACGUAAGUACGACACAACUGUUCCCCAAAACGAUAGUGUGAACUAUAGUGGUGGAACUUACAUAGUACGAUGCAUCGUGACACUGCGUCAGUGUUUCCCAAAACCAUAGUAGCAACUAACGUUCGCAACCACUAUCGUAAAGUUGUGUAGUUACAGCUACACCUCUCGACCUGUAGUAUGUAGUAAGAACCAUAGUAGACGACGUAACCCUGAUGACGGAACACGCAGAGGACAGAUGGAUGAGAGCCCAUUAUGAUGUGGUGAAGUGACUGUGCUGUGGCAGAGACUGUAGCGUGUGUGCUUUACAUGAGAGAGGUCAGGGGUUCAAGACUGAGUCGAUGGGUGUGAGGUAUGGGUAGGCCUGUCAUGGGAGGCGGAAAAAUGGCCAGCAGGAAGGUGUGCAGCAGCCACUGGAAUGACCUCUUCCACCUCCUCCACUAACAGCUCCUCAUCAGCCGGCAGUGGGAUGUGAUCCUGAAGGGCCAUGUUGCAGAAGCGCCGCCACCAAAACUACACUGCACGCUUUUGCAGGAUGGAGCUUCA